rnacentral:tRNA from 1 species
GCUCUGGUGGCCCAAUUGCAUAGUGCGUUGGAUUUCUAAGCCAAAGGUUGCGGGUUCAAGUCCCAGAUACAACA